rnacentral:rRNA from 1 species
UACAGAGGGGGCAAGCGUUGUUCGGAAUUACUGGGCGUAAAGGGCGCGUAGGCGGCCUGCUAAGUCGAACGUGAAAUCCCUGGGCUCAACCCAGGAACUGCGUCCGAUACUGGUUGGCUUGAAUCCGGGAGAGGGAUGUGGAAUUCCAGGUGUAGCGGUGAAAUGCGUAGAUAUCUGGAGGAACACCGGUGGCGAAGGCGACAUCCUGGACCGGUAUUGACGCUGAGGCGCGAAAGCCAGGGGAGCAACGGG